GUGAAUGCCGUGUUAGGAGGUGCGGGUAUAUGGAGGGGGGAGGCGUUGUUCGGAGUUAUUGGGGUUAAAUGGUCCGUAGUCGGAAUUAUAAGUCAGUGGUGAAAGACUGUCGCUUAUGGAUAGUACUGCCAUUGAGACGGUAAGUCUUGAGUAUAAGUGAGGUAGCUGGAAUAAGUAGUGUAGCGGUGAAAUGCAUAGAUAUUACUUAGAACACCAAUUGCGAAGGCAGGUUACCAAGUUAUAACUGACGCUGAGGGACGAAAGCGUGGGGAGCGAACAGGAUUAGAUACCCGGGUAGUC
rnacentral:rRNA from 1 species